rnacentral:sRNA from 2 species
UCCAACGAAUCGCCGAAGCGUAAGUUGGAGCGGAGGAACCAAAGUAUGGGGCGCAUCUCAUAGAAGAAAAGAGUGAAGAACAAAUAUAGUCAAGAGUAAAUACAAGAACAAAUAAUGAUUGUAUCUUUCUUCCUUUUUGUUUCUUCCUUCUUCUAAGAGAGGGGCAUCUCUCAGCCCUAGCCCGUCAGCUAACUUCGUAGGCAAUGAGAGGAGACUGA